rnacentral:lncRNA from 1 species
AUAUUAUAGUAUUACUUAUGUGAGUGAGUGAUCUUGGAGCCAAUUACGUGUGGGUAUUUUACUAACAACAAUGCAAUUGCAGUGUGUGGAUUUAGAUUUUUUUUUCUUGUUGGUCUUCUCUUGCCAUCUAUAUAUUAGUUGAUUGCAAUUGGCUAGUAUCCUGGUUGGUUAUUUAGCAAAAGUUAAACAUUAUUGUUUCGGUAAAAAUUCAGGUGCAGUUGACUUUACGUGAAGUUGAUAACUGAGAGUCGUUAGAUGAUUUGACUGAUCUGACUAAAUUUUCAUCUAAUGACUUUCAACUAUCAACUUCACGUAAAGUCGACUGCACCUGAGUUUUCACCUAUUAGGCUAUUAUUCCUUCCUUUAAAAUAAUUACUCUAUCGAUCUCUAACUCCAUUAUUUGAGCUUAGGGAAUAGUAGAGUCUAGGUCAGAGCUAUAACAGUAUGAAAAUUGUGUGCAUGUGUUGGCCUUGAAUAAUUAAUUAA